UUUUGAACGGUGAUAAGGAUUAGUAACAGACUGCGGAUGCUCAGAGAAUUGACGGACGGUGAGAGUCAAUCAUCCAAUGCCUGCGAACUCGCCUUUGAGUUACGGAUGCGAACUGCAGGGCAGCCUGCACGGUAAUGUCUGUCGUGAUCCACGUUACGGAUAUCAAGUGAGUGCCGUAUGGCGCUAAAUUGGGUGGUACCGCGGGAAAUAAACCUCUCGUCCCUUUC
rnacentral:ncRNA from 1 species